UACGUAGGGGGCUAGCGUUGUUCGGAAUUACUGGGCGUAAAGCGCGUGUAGGCGGUUGCCCAAGUCGGGUGUGAAAGCCUUGAGCUCAACUCAAGAAAUGCACUCGGUACUGGGUGACUAGAGGACCGGAGAGGAUAGUGGAAUUCCCAGUGUAGUGGUGAAAUACGUAGAGAUUGGGAAGAACACCAGUGGCGAAGGCGGCUAUCUGGACGGUUUCUGACGCUAAGACGCGAAAGCGUGGGGAGCAAACAGG
rnacentral:rRNA from 1 species